CAUGUUCCAAAGGAAACGCAAAAACAUCAUAAAUGGGAGGAAGAAUAACCACUACAUUGAGAAAUAUUUUCCAGGUUUGUUUGUAGUGUGUCUGCCU